UACGGAGGGGGCUAGCGUUGUUCGGAAUUACUGGGCGUAAAGCGCACGUAGGCGGCUUUGUAAGUUAGAGGUGAAAGCCCGGGGCUCAACUCCGGAAUUGCCUUUAAGACUGCAUCGCUAGAAUUGUGGAGAGGUAAGUGGAAUUCCGAGUGUAGAGGUGAAAUUCGUAGAUAUUCGGAAGAACACCAGUGGCGAAGGCGACUUACUGGACACAUAUUGACGCUGAGGUGCGAAAGCGUGGGGAGCAAAC
rnacentral:rRNA from 3 species